rnacentral:snRNA from 1 species
AUCUAUUCUCAACCUUUUGGAUAAGAUCAAGUGUAGUAUCUGUUCUUAUCAGUUUAAUAUCUGAUAUGUCCUCUAUUAGAGGACUGUAUAUUAAACUGAUUUUUGGCACUGAGAGUUGGAUCUGGAGCUUUGUUUUUUUUUUUUUAUUUAAACCACUGUUUAUCAUAUUUGAAAAAUCAUGGCAGUCAGGUGAAAUUCCCA